rnacentral:rRNA from 1 species
UGCGUAGGCGGUUUGGAAAGUCAGAUGUGAAAGCCUACAGCUCAACUGUAGAACUGCAUUUGAAACUUCCAGACUAGAAUACUGAAGGGGCAGAUGGAAUUAGUGGUGUAGGGGUAAAAUCCGUAGAUAUCACUAGGAAUACCUAAAGCGAAAGCGAUCUGCUGGGAAGUUAUUGACGCUGAGGCACGAAAGCGUGGGGAGCAAACAGGAUUAGAUACCCUGGUAGUCC